rnacentral:rRNA from 1 species
AUUGAACGCUGGCGGCAUGCCUUACACAUGCAAGUCGAACGGUAACGGGCCUUCGGGUGCCGACGAGUGGCGAACGGGUGAGUAAUGCAUCGGAACGUACCUUUCAGUGGGGGAUAACGUAGCGAAAGUUACGCUAAUACCGCAUAUUCUGUGAGCAAGAAAGCAGGGGAUCGCGAGACCUUGCGCUGAUUGAGCGGCCGAUUUAAGAUAAGCUAGUUGGUGAGGUAAAGGCUCACCAAGGCGACGAGCUGUAGCGGGUCUGAGAGGAUGAUCCGCCACACUGGACCUGAGAAACGGUCCAGACUCCUACGGGAGGAAGCAGUGGGGAAUUUUGGACAAUGGGGGCAACCCUGAUCCAGCCAUGCCGCAUGAGUGAAGAAGGCCUUCGGGUUGUAAAGCUCUUUCGGCCGGGAAGGAAUCGUAUGGGCUAAUACCCUGUGCGGAUGACGGUACCGGCAUAAGAAGCACCGGCUAACUACGUGCCAGCAGCCGCAGUAAGAC